CCUACGGGAGGCUGCAGUGGGGAAUAUUGGGCAAUGGGCGCAAGCCUGACCCAGCAACGCCGCGUGAAGGAAGAAGGCCCUCGGGUUGUAAACUUCUUUUAACAGGGACGAAGAAAGUGACGGUACCUGUUGAAUAAGCCACGGCUAACUACGUGCCAGCAGCCGCGGUAAUACGUAGGUGGCAAGCGUUAUCCGGAUUUACUGGGUGUAAAGGGCGGGUAGGUGGGAGAGCAAGUCAGACGUGAAAUUCCAGGGCUCAACCCUGGAACUGCGUUUGAAACUGUUCUUCUUGAGUGAGGGAGAGGCAGGCGGAAUUCCGUGUGUAGCGGUGAAAUGCGUAGAUAUACGGAGGAACACCAGUGGCGAAGGCGGCCUGCUGGACAGUAACUGACGCUGAGGCGCGAAAGCGUGGGGAGCAAACAGGAUUAGAUACCCUUGUAGUC
rnacentral:rRNA from 1 species